GUGGGGAAUUUUGGACAAUGGGCGCAAGCCUGAUCCAGCAAUGCCGCGUGCAGGAAGAAGGCCUUCGGGUUGUAAACUGCUUUUGUACGGAACGAAACGGUCCGGGUUAAUACCCUGGGCUAAUGACGGUACCGUAAGAAUAAGCACCGGCUAACUACGUGCCAGCAGCCGCGGUAAUACGUAGGGUGCAAGCGUUAAUCGGAAUUACUGGGCGUAAAGCGUGCGCAGGCGGUUUUGUAAGACAGGCGUGAAAUCCCCGGGCUCAACCUGGGAAUUGCGCUUGUGACUGCAAGGCUGGAGUGCGGCAGAGGGGGAUGGAAUUCCGCGUGUAGCAGUGAAAUGCGUAGAUAUGCGGAGGAACACCGAUGGCGAAGGCAAUCCCCUGGGCCUGCACUGACGCUCAUGCACGAAAGCGUGGGGAGCAAACAGGAUUAGAUACCCGAGUAGUCC
rnacentral:rRNA from 1 species